rnacentral:rRNA from 1 species
GACGAACGCUGGCGGCGUGCUUAACACAUGCAAGUCGAACGGAAAGGCCCUGCUUUUGUGGGGUGCUCGAGUGGCGAACGGGUGCGUAACACGUGAGUAACCUGCCCUUGACUUUCGGAUAACUUCAGGAAACUGGGGCUAAUCCCGGAUAGGAGCUCCUGCUGCAUGGUGGGGGUUGGAAAGUUUCGGCGGUUGGGGAUGGACUCGCGGCUUAUCAGCUUGUUGGUGGGGUAGUGGCUUACCAAGGCUUUGACGGGUAGCCGGCCUGAGAGGGUGACCGGCCACAUUGGGACUGAGAUACGGCCCAGACUCCUACGGGGGGCAGCAGUGGGGAAUAUUGCACAAUGGGCGGAAGCCUGAGGCAGCAACGCCGCGUGCGGGAUGACGGCCUUCGGGUUGUAAACCGCUUUCGCCUGUGACGAAGCGUGAGUGACGGUAAUGGGUAAAGAAGCACCGGCUAACUACGUG